rnacentral:rRNA from 1 species
UAGUCCUAUGCUGUAAACGGUGUGCACUUGGUGUGGGGGGAAUUGACCCCUCCCGUGCCGGAGCUAACGUGUUAAGUGCACCGCCUGGGGAGUACGGCCGCAAGGUUAAAACUCAAAGAAAUUGACGGGGGCCCGCACAAGCGGAGGAGCAUGUGGCUUAAUUCGAUGCAACGUCGAAGAACCUUACCAGGGCUUGACAUGUAACUGCACGCCUCCUGAAAGGGAGGAAGCUUUCGAAGGUGUUACACAGGUGCUGCAUGGCUGUCGUCAGUUCGUGCCGUGAGGUGUUGGGUUAAGUCCCGCAACGAACGCAACCCUUGUGUUUAGUUGCCAUCAGGUAAUGCUGGGCACUCUAGACAGACUGCCUGUAUCAAGCAGGAGGAAGGUGGGGAUGACGUCAAGUCAGUAUGGCCCUUACGCCCUGGGCUGCACACGUGCUACAAUGGUCGGUACAAAGGGAAGCGAAUAUCGCGAGGUGGAGCGUAAUCCUUGAAAGCCGGCCCCAGUUCGGAUUGG